rnacentral:rRNA from 1 species
CCGAGUUGUAAUUUGCAGAGGAUGUUUCUGGCGCGGUGCCUUCCGAGUUCCCUGGAACGGGACGCCACAGAGGGUGAGAGCCCCGUAUGGUUGGACACCAAGCCUGUGUGAAACUCCUUCAACGAGUCGAGUAGUUUGGGAAUGCUGCUCUAAAUGGGAGGUAAAUCUCUUCUAAAGCUAAAUACCGGCCAGAGACCGAUAGCGCACAAGUAGAGUGAUCGAAAGAUGAAAAGCACCUUGAAAAGGGGGUUAAAUAGUACGUGAAAUUGUUGAAAGGGAAGCACUUAUGACCAGACUUGGGCCGGGCGGCUCAUCAGGGGUUCUCCCCUGUGCAUUCCGCCCGGCACAGGCCAGCAUCGGUUUUCGCNNNGGGAUAAGACCGUCAGGAACGUAGCACCCUCCGGGGUNUNUUAUAGCCUGGCGGACGAUACUCCCGCGGGGACCGAGGUGCG